rnacentral:rRNA from 1 species
AUGCCGCCGAACCUCGAGUGCCGGAUGUACGAGCCGCGGUUCCCGGAGGUGGACGCGGCGGUGAUGAUCCAGGUGAAGCACAUCGCCGACAUGGGCGCCUACGUCUCCCUCCUCGAGUACAACAACAUCGAGGGCAUGAUCCUCUUCUCCGAGCUCUCCCGCCGCCGCAUCCGCUCCAUCUCCUCCCUCAUCAAGGUCGGCCGCCAGGAGCCCUCCAUGGUGCUCCGCGUCGACCGCGACAAGGGCUACAUCGACCUCUCCAAGCGCCGCGUCUCCGAGGAGGAGGCCGCCACCUGCGAGGACCGCUACAACAAGUCCAAGCUCGUCCACUCCAUCAUGCGCCACGCCGCCGACACCCUCGGCGUCGACCUCGAGCCCCUCUACCAGCGCAUCGGCUGGCCCCUCUACCGCAGGUACGGCCACGCCUUCGAGGCCUUCAAGCUCAUCGUCACCGACGCCGACGCCGUGCUCGACGUCCUCACCUACGAGGAGACCGUCGUCGGUCCCGAUGGUGUGGAGGUGACUAACACUGUGCCGGCUGUCACCCCUGAGGUUAAGGAUGCCCUGGUCAAGAACAUAAGGAGGAGAAUGACACCACAGCCACUCAAGAUUCGUGCUGAUGUUGAGAUGAAAUGCUUCCAGUUUGAUGGUGUUCUCCACAUUAAGGAAGCCAUGAGGAAAGCUGAAGCUGCUGGAAAUGCUGAUUGCCCUGUGAAGAUUAAGCUAGUUGCUCCUCCGCUUUAUGUUCUGACCACACAGACACUUGACAAAGACCAGGGGAUAGCAGUUCUGACAAAUGCAACCAAAGUUUGUGCAGAGGCAAUUGAAAAGCACAAGGGGAAAUUGGUGGUGAAGGAAGCAGCCAGAGCUGUGAGCGAGAGAGACGACAAGCUGUUUGCGGACACGAUUGAGAAGCUGAAGCUAGCAGGCGAGGAGGUCGACGGCGACGACGACAGCGAGGAGGAGGACAAUGGCAUGGGGGACGUGGACUUCACAAAGGCUGGCGCUGGCACGGACUGA